CUAACACAUGCAAGUCGAACGGCAGCACAGUAAGAGCUUGCUCUUAUGGGUGGCGAGUGGCGGACGGGUGAGGAAUACAUCGGAAUCUACUCUGUCGUGGGAGAUAACGUAGGGAAACUUACGCUAAUACCGCAUACGACCUACGGGUGAAAGCAGGGGAUCUUCGGACCUUGCGCGAUUGAAUGAGCCGAUGUCGGAUUAGCUAGUUGGCGGGGUAAAGGCCCACCAAGGCGACGAUCCGUAGCUGGUCUGAGAGGAUGAUCAGCCACACUGGAACUGAGACACGGUCCAGACUCCUACGGGAGGCAGCAGUGGGGAAUAUUGGACAAUGGGCGCAAGCCUGAUCCAGCCAUACCGCGUGGGUGAAGAAGGCCUUCGGGUUGUAAAGCCCUUUUGUUGGGAAAGAAAUCCAGCCGGCUAAUACCUGGUUGGGAUGACGGUACCCAAAGAAUAAGCACCGGCUAACUUCGUGCCAGCAGCCGCGGUAAUACGAAGGGUGCAAGCGUUACUCGGAAUUACUGGGCGUAAAGCGUGCGUAGGUGGUCGUUUAAGUCCGUUGUGAAAGCCCUGGGCUCAACCUGGGAACUGCAGUGGAUACUGGACGACUAGAGUGUGGUAGAGGGUAGCGGAAUUCCUGGUGUAGCAGUGAAAUGCGUAGAGAUCAGGAGGAACAUCCAUGGCGAAGGCAGCUACCUGGACCAACACUGACACUGAGGCACGAAAGCGUGGG
rnacentral:rRNA from 1 species